rnacentral:rRNA from 1 species
GGCGACCGGCGCACGGGUGAGUAACACGUAUCCAACCUACCGAUAACUCCGGAAUAGCCUUUCGAAAGAAAGAUUAAUACCGGAUAGCAUACGAAUAUCGCAUGAUAUUUUUAUUUAAAGAAUUUCGGUCAUCGAUGGGGAUGCGUUCCAUUAGGUUGUUGGUGGGGUAACGGCCUACCAAGCCGACGAUCAGUAGCCGACCUGAGAGGGUGACCGGCCACAUUGGGACUGAGACACGGACCAGACUCCUACGGGAGGCAGCAUG